GCACAAGCGGUGAGCAUGUGGUUUAAUUCGAAGCAACGCGAAGAACCUUACCAGGUCUUGACAUCCCCUGACAACCCAAGAGAUUGGGCGUUCCCCUUCGGGGGACAGGGUGACAGGUGGUGCAUGGUUGUCGUCAGCUCGUGUCGUGAGAUGUUGGGUUUAAAGUCCCGCAACGAGCGCAACCCUCGCCUCUAGUUGCCAGCAUUCGGUUGGGCACUCUAGAGGGACUGCCGGCGACAAGUCGGAGGAAGUGGGGAUGACGUCAAAUCAUCAUGCCCCUUAUGACCUGGGCUACACACGUGCUACAAUGGGCGGUACAAAGGGCUGCGAACCCGCGAGGGGGAGCGAAUCCCAAAAAGCCGCUCUCAGUUCGGAUUGCAGGCUGCAACUCGCCUGCAUGAAGCCGGAAUCGCUAGUAAUCGCGGAUCAGCAUGCCGCGGUGAAUACGUUCCCGGGCCUU
rnacentral:rRNA from 1 species